UACGUAGGGUGCUAGCGUUGUCCGGAAUUAUUGGGCGUAAAGAGCUCGUAGGCGGUUUGUCGCGUCGACUGUGAAAACCUACAGCUUAACUGUGGGCUUGCAGUCGAUACGGGCAGACUUGAGUUCGGUAGGGGAGACUGGAAUUCCUGGUGUAGCGGUGAAAUGCGCAGAUAUCAGGAGGAACACCGGUGGCGAAGGCGGGUCUCUGGGCCGAUACUGACGCUGAGGAGCGAAAGCGUGGGGAGCGAACAGG
rnacentral:rRNA from 1 species